rnacentral:rRNA from 1 species
AAUAUUGGUCAAUGGUGGCAAUGCUGAUCUAGCCAUGCAGUGAGUGUGAAUAAGGUCUUCGGAAUGUAAAGCACUUUAAGUUGGGAGGUAGGGCUUUAGGCUAAUACCCUCAAGUUUUGACGUUACCAACUGAAUCAUUACCGGACAACUCUAUGUCAGCAGCCGCGGUAAUACAGAGGGUGCAAGCGUUAAUCGGAAUUACUGGGCGUAAAGCGCGCGUAGGUAGUUCAGUAAGAUGGGUGUGAAAUCCCCAGGCUUAACCUGGGAACUGCUUUCAUAACUGCUGAGCUAGAGUACGGUCGAGGGUAGUGGAAUUUCCUGUGUAGCGGUGAAAUGAGUAGAUAUAGGAAAGAACACCAGUGGCGAAGGCGACUACCUGGACUGAUACUGACACUGAGGUGCGAAAGCGUGGGGAGCAAAC